rnacentral:rRNA from 1 species
CGCAGCCAGCUGCGAGAUUUGGUGUGAAUUGCAGGACACAUUGAGCACUGAUUUUUCGAACGCACAUUGCGGCCUCGGGUUCUGCCCGGGGCCUCGCCUGUCUGAGGGUCGGAUAAGACUUGCAAAGGAAAUUCUCAUUUCCAAUUGGCCGCGUCGGAGUCCCUCUUGCGGGGGCUUCGUCGGCUCAAGUAUCCUUAGGAUCCUCCCCGGUCGAAAGAGCAACAAGCCCUUGAGCAAUGCUCGUCGCUCGGAGAAGACGGACCACGUUUCUCCACCGAAGACGAGACGGCUUGAAGCUGAGAAGACCACUCGAAGGGGAAAGCGAACCUACUAGAGGCCCUACGGCUCUCUCCUAACUUUUAACUUUGACGACCUCAGAUCAGACGAGAUAACCCGCUGAAUUUAAGCAUAUC